rnacentral:rRNA from 1 species
AUUGAACGCUGGCGGCAGGCCUAACACAUGCAAGUCGAGCGGAUGAAGGGAGCUUGCUCCUGGAUUCAGCGGCGGACGGGUGAGUAAUGCCUAGGAAUCUGCCUGGUAGUGGGGGAUAACGUCCGGAAACGGGCGCUAAUACCGCAUACGUCCUGAGGGAGAAAGUGGGGGAUCUUCGGACCUCACGCUAUCAGAUGAGCCUAGGUCGGAUUAGCUAGUUGGUGGGGUAAAGGCCUACCAAGGCGACGAUCCGUAACUGGUCUGAGAGGAUGAUCAGUCACACUGGAACUGAGACACGGUCCAGACACCGACGGGAGGCAGCAGUGGGGAAUAUUGGACAAUGGGCGAAAGCCUGAUCCAGCCAUGCCGCGUGUGUGAAGAAGGUCUUCGGAUUGUAAAGCACUUUAAGUUGGGAGGAAGGGCAGUAAGUUAAUACCUUGCUGUUUUGACGUUACCAACAGAAUAAGCACCGGCUAACUUCGU